GUUAGAGCUGGGAACUCUCUUGAGUAUGGGUAUGCAAUUUUCGGGCAGAGGGCUAAAAAUAGGGCUAGGUACCAGAAGUUAAGGAAUUGGAUAAGCGCUAGAACAGCACAUUAUCCCUUCUAAAUGACAGCGUGUCUUGAAAUGCACUUUGUUUCUUCACACAUCUAAACAGCAUUUUAAAAGUUAGAUAGCAUAGGGUGCAUAGAGACUUUGUCACUUCAGCUGCCAUUCAUACAGUGACGAGACCAAGAGGAUACUUCCAUGAAUCAAUUGACCCUUCGCUAAGUCCCAGCCCUCGAACGCAGACUGACCAAUUGUAGCGUAGCAUUGUCCAACUCCGACCAGGGUCCGCAACUAUCCGGUUCUUCUCCAUAGGCUCUUGUGCAAUAGUUUUGGGUUUCCUUCAUUUUCAGGCUGGUUUUGUGGAUUCCGAGCGAGCUACGGUCAAAUGUUUUUCCUCGGGUAUGUGUAGUAGCAAUCCUCGGAGAGGCUGGAAGAAAACAUUUGUUUCUGAGACGUUACGUUUCCAUAUCCAAACUGAAGCAGAGGACAUUAGCACAACAUAAACUAGUGUUAGCACUUCAAUGCUUUGCUAGCUACUGAAGUUACACUGAAUGUAAACACAUGCUGCUUUUGCUGUUUAAAGACUGUUACAGUAGAUAAAGACCUACCUAUACGGGAACAGUGCAUUUUAUUGUCCUCCGUCACUAUCGCGAGGUCAUGUAGCGGUCGACUUUCACCCUGUGAUGUGAUCUGUAGGCUUCAGCUUUUCAUCUUUGUUGUUUUACAUCGUGGCUACAUCAUUCAAACAUAACAUGACUCUGACUCUGUAGACUCUUCUGUCUGCUUCUCUCUAGUUAUCUUUUGGUUUUCCAAAAAUUAGAUAUUUACCCAGGCGUGUGCAGUUAGUGACAGUGUGGGCUUCAUGGUAGCAGCAGGGGGCGGGCUCAGCGAAGAGCCCCCCUGGUUUGGGCUGCGGUAGCCCAAAGUCACAAAUCUCUUCUUCAUUGUUGGAUUGCUGAACCCUUUAUAUGUACCAAUCUUCAGGGAGACGUGAGUGGGUCAGCCCUGGCUACUGUCCACAUCACUGGACCUCUCCAAGCUCUUUAGCCAGUAGAUCCAUUGUUUAUGUUUAUAAAAGCAUGUUCUGCAUUGUUUAUGUUCUCCUUGCACACCUGUGAUUACUGUGUAUACAGUGGUGUGUUGGGCGGUAGCGACAUUACUGGUUUAACUACAUUCUCUGAAGCUCAACCAGCUGCUGCAGGGUCUGAACUUGGCACCCGUCACUAGAAGGUUAAUGUUGUCAGAAUGACCUAAAUAUUAUCACCUCAUUUAGCGCAUAGAUUAGAAGUAGCAGGCAAAAAAUAGAUCUUUCCUGCCACCGUGCACUGGCAUAUGACGGUGACAUCACUUACAAAGAAGGUCACAGAAGUUGCAGAUAUGAGUUUCUGUCUCGUCCCACUGGAUUAAAAACCUGGUUAGGAUUCCUUAAAAUGUUGUGAGGCCAGCGUGGGUGUACAGGAUGCUGUGCCACUAGUUUCAGGUGCAGGAUGUGGGUGGGAGAAUGUUGGCCUUCCUGCAUGGUUGUUUACCCGACUCACAUUUGCAAGGAAGUAAGUCAACAGUGGAUGGAAUUAUAAACGGAUACAUUUGCAAUAAGCAGAACUGUGUUUCCCAACACAUCCACAUUUGCAUAUUUUUGUUUGUGUGUUGCAUAAAGUGAUACCGGGUGUAUCCUGCAUGUUGGGGUAAGACCAUAGAGAUUGGGUGUGUGCGAGAGAGUGGGUGGAUGGCUCGUGGAAAAACUGCACUUUUGUGUGUGGGCAGAAAGGGUGACACUGGAACUUAUCCUGGAAAACCAGUUCCAACACCUGUUUGCUAUUCAGAUCAUCAUAAAUGUAGGUUGGUGAUACUGACUGUGGCCGUGGGAUGGAGUAACAUUCCCAAGACGUCUGAGGAGACGGCUGUAGUGUGUUACUUUGUAUGUGGAUGGCCAAUCAUUGUUGAUCGUAAAUGUAGUAGGAUUGUCUUUUACUUUCUUUAAAAAGCAAACGACAGUUUGGGCAAAUAAUAAUAUUGGCGUGUGCCCAAACACCGUGCGACACCGACUACCGCAGCCGGCCCAGGUCUCAGCUUUCUCUGUUUUUCGGUUAUUGCUUCGAUUGAUUUCAUUUACCAUCAACACUGAUUGGACUUCCACAUAAAAGGUGGUGAAUUUCUCCCGUAGGUACUUAAAAAGACCCCCGAUUGCUGCAAUGCGUGUCAGAAAUCCCAUUCCCUGAUUUGUGUGUGUUGGGGGAGUUUGGAGGUAGGAACUUCACAUGUACAGUGUAUGAUUGUGUUAAUUGUGCUUUUGAGAAUAAACGUAAUAUACAAAAAUCACAUUCCUUCUCUGAGACAUAACUCAAUCAAAUCUGAAAACGAACGUGCUAUCCCACGUAUAUGAGUCACUGACUUAAGUCGCAUCAGUACAUCUGCUCCCAUUGUUUUCUACGUGUGCACAUUGGCUGUGAAUUGACGCAUCAUCGAGGGUAGUUCAUUUUCCUAUUUCCUCGGUGAUGACGCAUGACGUCUCCCUGGAAGAGCAGUAAUUUCAUCACAUUCGCUCCCUGGAGUGACUCAUCACAACCACUAGGACUGCCCCUCCCCCGCAAGCAUGCCUGGACAGGUGCAGAGAUGCCUGGACAGGUGCAGAGAUGCCUGGACAGGUGCAGAGAUGGAUGUUUAUUCUACAGUAAAUCAUUUCGGGAGAACUUUCAACAGUGUCUGAUUUGUCAGCCAUCAGGUGAUGAUUUGAAUGUUUUGUUCUUUGUUUGUUCUUAGUAGAUCUUAGUCUUGGUUUGAGGCUUUAGAUUAAAAAGUGUCCGCAGACUGUUGUUGGCAUCUUGCUCGGGCUUCUCUUUUAUUUCAGAUAUUGGUCAGACACACCUGGUCUGUGUUAACACCGCUAAAUGAUGUAACACAAGGAUAUCAUUCAAUGUCUAUUACAAAUACACAGCCAUACAUCUGCUUUCCAGAACUUGCGAAUCAUCACAUUUUGAAGUUUUCUUGAAAAUGUGUCAAAAGUGUCAAAGUAAUCCAGUGAUGGUUCUAUCUUAACACAUGGGUACAUUGCGAACAGGAACUGCUAAAAGCUAAUUUAUUAUACUUUUGAUGGUGCCAAUUCAACAAAUGUAAA